rnacentral:rRNA from 1 species
GGACCCGCACAAGCGGUGGAGCAUGUGGUUUAAUUCGAUGCAACGCGAAAAACCUUACCUACUCUUGACAUACUUGGAAGCUCUUGUAAUGAGAGUGUGCCUUUUGGAACCAAGAUACAGGUGCUGCAUGGCUGUCGUCAGCUCGUGUCGUGAGAUGUUCCGUUAAGUCGGAUAACGAGCGCAACCCUUACCCUUAUUUGCCAGCGAUUCGGUCGGGAACUAUAAGGGGACUGCCGUGAUAAACCGGAGGAAGGUGAGGACGACGUCAAGUCAUCAUGGCCCUUACGAGUAGGGCUACACACGUGCUACAAUGGCUGGUACAGAGGGCUGCGAACCCCGCGAGGGCAAG